AGAGUUUGAUCCUGGCUCAGGACGAACGCUGGCGGCGUGCCUAACACAUGCAAGUCGAACGGGGUAAUUUCUUUCGGGAGAUUACUUAGUGGCGAACGGGUGAGUAACGCGUGAGGAACCUGCCUUUCAGCGGGGGACAACAGUUGGAAACGACUGCUAAUACCGCAUAACACAGUUGAACCGCAUGAUUUAACUGUCAAAGCUUUAUGUGCUGAAAGAUGGCCUCGCGUCUGAUUAGCUAGUUGGUGGGGUAACGGCCCACCAAGGCGACGAUCAGUAGCCGGUCUGAGAGGAUGAACGGCCACAUUGGGACUGAGAUACGGCCCAGACUCCUACGGGAGGCAGCAGUGGGGAAUAUUGGGCAAUGGGGGAAACCCUGACCCAGCAACGCCGCGUGAAGGAAGAAGGCCUUCGGGUUGUAAACUUCUUUUAGCAGGGACGAAGGACGUGACGGUACCUGCAGAAAAAGCAACGGCUAACUACGUGCCAGCAGCCGCGGUAAUACGUAGGUUGCAAGCGUUGUCCGGAUUUACUGGGUGUAAAGGGCGUGUAGGCGGAGAUGCAAGUCAGGAGUGAAAUCCCGGGGCUCAACCCCGGAACUGCUUUUGAAACUGCAUCCCUUGAGUAUCGGAGAGGCAAGCGGAAUUCCUAGUGUAGCGGUGAAAUGCGUAGAUAUUAGGAGGAACACCAGUGGCGAAGGCGGCUUGCUGGACGACAACUGACGCUGAGGCGCGAAAGCGUGGGGAGCAAACAGGAUUAGAUACCCUGGUAGUCCACGCUGUAAACGAUGAAUACUAGGUGUGGGAGGACUGACCCCCUUCG
rnacentral:rRNA from 1 species